rfam:TPA: Bos taurus chromosome 10, whole genome shotgun sequence.
UCCCUGGUGGCUCAGACGGUAAAGCUUCUGCCUGCAAUGCGGGAGACCCGGGUUCGAUCCCCGGGUCGGGAA